rnacentral:lncRNA from 1 species
CGUGUUAUUGUAGCUGAGUGUCCACAUUUCAUUAGGGAUUUGUUGUGGGUUCCCUUUCCUCCCCCUCCAGGUGGCAGCAUGGAGUAGUGGUUAAGCCCUUGGAUUUUGGAAUCAGAUUUCUGGGCCUACUUCUGGGUACUGCCACUUAACCAACCGUGUGACCUUGGGUGAGUUACUGUGCCUCAGUUUCCCCAUGUAUAUAGGGAAAUGUACUAACUACCCAUCCCAGAGAGUUUUUCCAAGGACUUUCACAAAGCACCUAGGACAGAUAGAAUCCUCAUGUGUCUUCCAUCAGGUGAUGUCUGUGCUUCGACAGUCUGGUGACUUCUGCAUAGACCCCAGGCAGCCUCUGGUCAUCCCAGACCCUCUGCGGGGAGGGAGGAGCGACAGCUUUCCGUGUUGCUCCCUAUGGCUUCCAAAGGCGGCGGCAUUUCUGAGCAAGCAGGAACGCUGGCCCGCUGCUCCCUGCUUCUAA